GGGCCCGUAGCUCAGCCAGGAAGAGUAUAUUGGGGUGAUAACCCGGAGGUCCCGGGUUCGAAUCCCGGCGGGCCCGCCA
rnacentral:tRNA from 1 species